AUUGAACGCUGGCGGCAAGCCUAACACAUGCAAGUCGAACGAGUGGCGGACGGGUGAGUAAUGUCUGGGAAACUGCCUGAUGGAGGGGGAUAAAUACUGGAAACGGUAGCUAAUACCGCAUACCAUUGGAUGUGCCCAGAUGGGAUUAGCUAGUAGGUGGGGUAAAGGCUCACCUAGGGGACGAUCCCUCGCUGGUCUGAGAGGAUGGCCAGCCACACUGGAACUGAGACACGGUCCAGAAUCCUACGGGAGGCAGCAGUGGGGAAUAGUGCACAAUGGGCGCAAGCAUUAUGCAGCCAUGCCGCGUGUAUGAAGAAGGCCGUCGGGUUGUAAAGUACUUUCAGCGGGGAGGCGUUACCCGCAGAAGAAGCACCGGCUAACUCCGUGCCAGCAGCCGCGGUAAUUC
rnacentral:rRNA from 1 species